rnacentral:lncRNA from 1 species
UCACUAUUACAUUGUGAGAACAUUCAAACUGCCCUAUGGAGGAGCCCAAAGGGUGCAGACCUGAGACCUCUGACCAACAGUCAGCAGGGAACUGAGCCCUGCUGCCCACAGCCAUGUAAGCGAGCAUGGAAAUGGAUCCUGUAGCCCUGGUCAAGCCUUCAGGAAGCCUGGCUCUGAGCUAACAUCGGUGCCCAUCUUCCUCUACUUUAUAUGUGGGACGCCUACCACAGCAUGGCGUGCCAAGUGGUUCCAUGUCCACACCAGGGAUCCGAACCAGUGAACCCCGGCUGCCAAAGCGGAACGUGCGAACUUAACCGCUGUGCCACCGCGCCAGCUCCCCAACAGUUUUAUAUUGUCUUCAUUGAUUCUCGCCACACUUUCUGGAAUAAGAAGAACACAUGUAAUAAUUGUUGAUGAGAACACUGAUGGAUAGAACAUUGUAUAUUUCUCUAGGUCCUAUAAUCUGAUCACAACUUAUUGAGUAAGUACUCAAAAUAGAUUGCCUUACUUCCGUCUUAUUAUUCUUUUUAAAACAAAGAGCUGGCUCUCAUCUAGCUGACACCUCACUCUUAGCAGACUGUAUCAGUACUUUAACUUUGGGUGUUCCCCAGCAAGGAAUGAGAGGGGCGUCAGGAAACUACACUCGCUCACUUCUAUCCUUUAUUUCAAACGAUGCUGCUGAUUUAAUCUCCUUCCUUCCUUCCCUUCCUCCCUCCCUCCCCACCGCUGCUGGGGGUGGGGUAGGGGCUGAGCCCCGAAUGCCAUUGCUGCCCCUGUAGCCUCUGGUCUCCCUGUCUGUAUGCUUUUUGAAACCUCAAAUCAAGGCACCGCUGCCACUGCCAGGGGUGUUUGUUUUGGAUGCAGCACCCCCUGCUAAAAGGACCAGUGCUGGAGUCACUGUUCCACCAGGGGAGGGGGUUGACGGUGCCCUGUAGUUCCACUGCCUCCGGGAGGUCCAAAUUGAUGCAGGCUCAGCUAGCAGAGGAGUUGAAAGGAAGAUUUCUUCAACUCUCAAGGUCUGAUAGUAGUGCUCUUUUAUUCAGAGAAUAGCAUGGGGACAGGACCCAUGGGGAGUGAAGAGCUGCAAUGGUUUGAGGGUAUAAGGCAUAGGUAUGUUAGUCAUUUCUUUUACCAGACAAAGGAAAGAUCAUGUACAAGAAAGUUGUUAAAAUGGUAUCAGUGCAGGUGGGGUCUGGUUAUCGGGUGGUCAUCUAACUUUAGAUACAAAUCAGGUUGAAUCAUGUCAGGACGUCCUAUACUUCCCAGAGGAUGAUAUAGAUCGGGGUACGUAGGGCAGGACGUCUUGGGCUUCUCUCCCUGGGGCAGCCUUCAUCCGCAUCACAACUCACCCACCUUCAGAUAUAGAGAUGUAUGGAUGUCUCCAGUGUUCUGGUGAGCUGUGCGGGCUGUCCUUUCUUGGUAAUGGAUGUCCUAGUAGUUGUAACUUGGGAGAGACAAAGGGAACAACUCACUCCACCAUCACGCUGAGGUCUCUUCUAUCCGAGUAGAAUUCUUAUGCAAGUUGAUGGGAAUAUAAAUUAGCAAAAUCUUUUUUCUCUUUCUUUUGCUGUAGUUAGUACGGAUGAACACACGUAUAUCUUAUCUAGCAAUUUACUGCUAAGUAUAUAUUUAUUUGUUCACCAAAGAAAUGCAGUCAUUUUUCCUGGCAAAAGGCAUAUUCUGAAUUUUCAUGGCAACACAAUUAGUAUUAACCAAAAUAUUAAAACUACCUAAAUAUCCAUUAACAGUAGGAUGAAUUUAAAAAAUGGAUAUAUUCAGACAAUGAAAUAUUAUACUAAAUGAGAAAGAGCUAUAACUACAUGCAGUACUGAUGAAUCUCACUAAAUAUAGUAAGGAACAAAAGAUGCCAGAUACAAGAUAGCCCCACAUUUAUAUAGUAUAAUGUAUAAAAACUAGCAAAUUGGUAUUCACUCUCAGAAGUUAGGGUCGUGGUCAGUCAGGCAGGGUUGUGAGGAUGACUAGAAUUGGAUAUGGGAAGGGUGGACUUCUGGCUUGCUAGAAGCUGAUUUCACAGAAAUGUUGUUUGCAGGAAUUUAUCAAACUAUAUACCAUAUGUAUUAGGUUCUUUAGAAAAUGGAACUAAUAGGAUGUACAUAUGGAGGGAUUUAUUUUAAGAAACUGACUCACACAGUUGUGGAGGCUGGCAAGU